rnacentral:sRNA from 1 species
ACUGAUGCACAUCGAAGGCUUCCUGGCAGCUCUCACUGCGGCCAACCAGGACGGCAGGGUCAUCCUGAGCCGCCAAGGCAGCCUCAGUCAGAGCACCCUGAAAUUUCUGCUCCUGAAUCCAGCUGUGCACUUUGCCCAAGUGGUGAAGGAAUGCCGGGCAGUGGUCAUUGCGGGGGGGACCAUGCAGCCGAUAUUCCAGGAACCUAAGAGCGCACACCAGGUGGAGCAGGUGCUGGUGGCGUAUUCCAGGUGCAUCCAGGCCUGUGGCCAGGAGAGAGGCCGGGUGACAGGGGCCCUGCUCCUCUCUGUGGUUGGAGGAAAGAUGAGUGAAGGGAUCAACUUCUCUGACAACCUAGGCCGGUAAGUAAUGGUUCUGCUCAUCUCCUGGGCCAUGCUACAUGGCCGGCCCUCACUCUCAGCAGCUGGGCCCCUGCCUGCCGUCUGCUGCCAUUAGAGCCCACAGCUGGGCUGCGACUGCUCAGACCAGCCAGCUGGAGGGAGGGGCUCAGCAGCUCUGGGUUUGGCCCUGGGAGAGCAGUUGGAUUUUAGGCUGGCCAUUGCU